CACUUUGGAAAAUAAACAAGCACAAUUUUUUUGAGGUUACUGCAGUGACCGUCAACCAUUUCCAAAACUCACUUUUUCACUCACCUUCUUCUUUCCCAGAAUUCAUAAACCAUCUUCUUCUCUAUUGAGUUAACUUAAAUCUCCUUUAUUCUUCUCUCCAUCAAACUCAGACACCUUCUUCUCACUUUGGAGUCCAACUUCCAUUCACUAACGCAAAAACCCUAAAAUUGAAAUCGAUUGAUCUCGAAAAUCAAAACUCCAAAAAACCAGUAAAACCCUAAAAUUGAUUGAACCCGUAACUCAAAAAUCUUUUAAUUUGUUUUUAGAAAUGGAUCUGAAACCCUAAAACCAUAUUCCUCGUCGACGACUAGCUCUGUAAUUUUCUACACCUCAAACAUUUUUUUAAGAAUAUCCCCCAAAUUAGUAGAAAGCUCAACCAUAUUUGCCUUUUGAAAUCGUUGAUUCUCCAUUGUCUAUGCUUUGAUAUCAAUGUUUACGAUCAACUGGGAGAUGCGGUCGACAAAACGCGGCAUUGGAUCUUGUUCGUUUGUGCAAUUGCAAGGCUUUACACGCCAUCCACUCAUACAAACAUGUAGCUACCCUAACGUAUUUCUUGCGCUGCAAUUAGUUCGUCUUAUUAAUCCUGAAGUGAAGCAGCAACCUCUACUGGUAAGAAAAGUGAAUGCAACAAGGUGCAAUGAGGAAAAUGAGUUUCUAAUUAUGAGGCCCAAGAUCGAUCAUCAUUGGAGUUUCAAAUGUUUUAAAGAAAAGAUUUCUACCUAUUUUGAAAUCUUGUUGUUUGAGUAUACAGAAAUUGAUUGUAAACAAAAGAAUGGUCUGAUGUUACAUGGGAGUAAUAGAAGGUGGUUUAUUUGGAAGACCUGAUAUCGACCUGAUUGAUCAAGAGAAAUAUAUGAGCAGAAGAUUUAGUCAGUAUUCGACCGAUGGUGUCUCAGAUCAUUUCACUUUGACUUCAUCUGGUUUGGAAACUCAACUAUGAUGAUGCGUUUCUACGACAAGUUCUGGAUUUGGUUGUUAUCACAAAACUAUCAAAGCGGUUUGUGUGCGGAGUGUCUUGACUUGUAAGUCAGUACAAAUGGAUCAGCUAAAGUUAGACGGGCUAUUUCUCAUUUUCAGGAUGCUCCAGAAAGUGGGAACAUGGUAUUGAGAAUACAGAGUAUCUGAAGAUAAGUCUUUCCAUUGUGUUAAUAGAUUCAAAAGAAUAGAUGGGAUGUUUGGCUGUUUGUACUUCUAAAAAGUUAGAUAGAGGCCUAUAUACAUACAAAAAAACAGUUAAAUAUAUUAUUAGCUCAUACAGUACAACCAUAUAUAAAAAACACUUUAUUUUAUAUA